rnacentral:rRNA from 1 species
UACGGAGGGGGCUAGCGUUGUUCGGAAUUACUGGGCGUAAAGCGCACGUAGGCGGCUUUGUAAGUUAGAGGUGAAAGCCCGGGCUUACCAUCGGAAUUGCCUUUAAGACUGCAUCGCUAGAAUUGUGGAGAGGUAAGUGGAAUUCCGAGUGUAGAGGUGAAAUUCGUAGAUAUUCGGAAGAACACCAGUGGCGAAGGCGACUCACUGGACACAUAUUGACGCUGAGGUGCGAAAGCGUG